UUGCACAUUACGUAACAUUCAAUUUCCACCAAAACCCAUUUACGCUUUGGAAUACAGUCGAGUAGAAGAAAGAAUUUGCUAUGCAGCAUGCACUGAUGGCGCAGUAUAUCGAAUCGAAAUACCAAAUCUGAGUGCGUCAAUAGACGACCCUCCAGAAUAUUGCAUUCGAGCGGAUCCCGCGCUAGAGUGCCUUAACACACAAUUUUACGGAGCUCCUGGUAUUUCUUCCUGCUCGACGCCGUUUAUCACAC
rnacentral:misc_RNA from 1 species